rnacentral:rRNA from 1 species
CAGUCGCCGCGGUAAUACGUAUGUCGCGAGCGUUAUCCGGAAUUAUUGGGCAUAAAGGGCAUCUAGGCGGCCUGACAAGUCAGGGGUGAAAACCUGCGGCUCAACCGCAGGCCUGCCUUUGAAACUGUGAGGCUGGAGUACCGGAGAGGUGGACGGAACUGCACGAGUAGAGGUGAAAUUCGUAGAUAUGUGCAGGAAUGCCGAUGAUGAAGAUAGUUCACUGGACGGUAACUGACGCUGAAGUGCGAAAGCCGGGGGAGCGAACAGGAUUAGAUACCCGGGUAGUCCCUGUCUCUUAUAC